GACGAACGCUGGCGGCGUGCUUAACACAUGCAAGUCGAACGGAAAGGCCCUGCUUUUGUGGGGUGCUCGAGUGGCGAACGGGUGAGUAACACGUGAGUAGCCUGCCCUUGACUUUGGGAUAACUUCAGGAAACUGGGGCUAAUACCGGAUAGGAGCUCCUGCUGCAUGGUGGGGGUUGGAAAGUUUCGGCGGUUGGGGAUGGACUCGCGGCUUAUCAGCUUGUUGGGGGGGUAGUGGCUUACCAAGGCGUUGACGGGUAGCCGGCCUGGGAGGGUGACCGGCCACAUUGGGACUGAGAUACGGCCCAGACUCCUACGGGAGGCAGCAGUGGGGAAUAUUGCACAAUGGGCGGAAGCCUGAUGCAGCAACGCCGCGUGCGGGAUGACGGCCUUCGGGUUGUAAACCGCUUUCGCCUGUGACGAAGCGUGAGUGACGGUAAUGGGUAAAGAAGCACCGGCUAACUACGUG
rnacentral:rRNA from 1 species